GACGAACGCUGGCGGCGUGCCUAAUACAUGCAAGUAGAACGCACAGUUUAUACCGUAGCUUGCUACACCAUAGACUGUGAGUUGCGAACGGGUGAGUAACGCGUAGGUAACCUGCCUGGUAGCGGGGGAUAACUAUUGGAAACGAUAGCUAAUACCGCAUAAUAUUAAUUAUUGCAUGAUAAUUAAUUGAAAGGCGCAAUUGCACCACUACCAGAUGGACCUGCGUUGUAUUAGCUAGUAGGUGAGGUAACGGCUCACCUAGGCGACGAUACAUAGCCGACCUGGGAGGGUGAUCGGCCACACUGGGACUGAGACACGGCCCAGACGCCUACGGGAGGCAGCAGUAGGGAAUCUUCGGCAAUGGACGAAAGUCUGACCGAGCAACGCCGCGGGAGUGAAGAAGGUUUUCGGAUCGGAAAGCUCUGUUGUAAGAGAAGAACGGGUGUGAGAGUGGAAAGUUCACACUGUGACGGUAUCUUACCAGAAAGGGACGGCUAACUACGUG
rnacentral:rRNA from 1 species